AGAACAGGAGUUAUAUCGCUACAUCAUCCACUGUUUUCUGGACGGCUUCAACAUGCUCGGGCAGAUCACUCUUCCAAUGACUUGCAAGGGCACCAGGAAACAUUGCUUAAAGACAAUAUAGACUGGUUACCGUUACAUGAGGGUGAGAAAUAGCACCAGAAAGCAAACAAUGAUCCAUGGGAAGUUGUGAAUAGAGGAGCAGAAAUAUUACCAGAUAACAUCAGAAAUAGAAGAUUCUGAACUGCAACUUGAAGCAUCAAUAAUCGAUGUUAUCUGUUGAUUAUCCAUUUCAACGCCUGCUGCAUUGCAUGUUAUACACAUAUGGAGGGGUAUAACCUGUGGUCAAAAGAUAAGGCUCAUGUAUUAAUCAGGUGGCAUUAGAUGUUUCGCAAAAGAAUGCAGAGAAAAAUACAUAAAGUAA